rnacentral:lncRNA from 1 species
GACAUGGCAAGGAUCAUGGUGGAAAAAAUCUCAAGUGAAAUGGAUUAUUAAUGAAUGAGUUAUGAUUUUUUGAUUGUGGAAAAAAAAUAAAAAAAAGCAUGGAAGGAAGCAUGUAACAUGAUAUGCAUAAGUGGAAAAAUAAGCAAGGCAAUUGGAAUGGAUGCUGAAGCGGGGAAUCGAACCCCUGGGUAAUUCAAAAAUGAGCGCCACUUAAGUGAAA